UACGAAGGGGGCUAGCGUUGUUCGGAAUCACUGGGCGUAAAGCGCACGUAGGCGGAUGUGCCAGUCAGGGGUGAAAUCCUGGAGCUCAACUCCAGAACUGCCUUUGAUACUGGCGAUCUUGAGUCCGGGAGAGGUGAGUGGAACUGCGAGUGUAGAGGUGAAAUUCGUAGAUAUUCGCAAGAACACCAGUGGCGAAGGCGGCUCACUGGCCCGGUACUGACGCUGAGGUGCGAAAGCGUGGGGAGCAAACAGG
rnacentral:rRNA from 1 species